GUACUCACCUAGCAGAGGAGAUGCCAUGAUCACGAAGUUGGUUUUUCCAGGGCCCCAGAGCGAGGCUCAUCCAUUGCACUCCAGAUGUGCUGACUCCUGUGAUUUCCCCAAAUGCUGGAAACUCUACUGCAUAAUUUGUGGUAGUGGGGGACUGUGUUUGUGCUCUCCCCUG
ensembl:snRNA U1 U1 spliceosomal RNA